GUCAAAUAUGAUACGGCAUCUGACAUAACAUGUUUACUAUCUUUUGCAUUGCGCUUCAUAAAUAAUGCACCGUCAUAUUAUGUCAUACGUGAUGUGCAGUGUUGAUACCAUGUUUUUUGAUGCACUCUUAUAAUCAAUUUAAUUAACAAAAUAUUGUGAAAUAAUACUAAUCUAGUUUAAGAAUUCGUAUUUAUUUACCGCAAAUUAUAGCGCAACGCUCACGGCCUGAAUAGUAAACGUGUUAAUAACUGCAUGUCUUCUUUUUGUUUAUUAUUUUGAUGUAACGUACACAUUAAUUCUGCAUUUCUAACCUCAAAAAGGGUUGCAGAUUAAUCUUCAUGCAUAUGAAGUUUUUCUUCUUUGGAAAAUGAAACGAAUCGUGUCAAGUCAUUCGCAUCGAGAUGAAAGAUCGAGAACAUCACGCAGUGGAGAUUUUGAAACUGGUCUACGUUCAAAAACGGAAGAAGAAAGAUUACGGCGUAGGCGCGAAUGGAUGAUAGAGCAAGAAAAGCUACGGGAACAUGAAAAAUUGAAGGCGAAGAUGAUUUUAGAGUAUGAAAUACGUCGUGCUCGUGAAAAAGGUUUACCACCACCAAAAGGAAGAUUCUCACAUCACAGUCGUAGUAAAAGUAAAAGCAAAUCUCCGGAAAUUCGACAUAAAACUACGACAUCAAGUACAUCUAAAACAGCCAUAUUAUCUAAAAAAUUAGAACCAUCAGAUGGUACAACACCUUUAUUUAAGGGACCAGAAGGCACACAAGUUAGUAUUGUGGAAUUACGAAGUAUCAAAGUAGAUAUUCACAGAAAUGUGCCAGGCAAAGCAACAACUGAUGAACUUCAACGAGCUAUUGUCAAUCCUGAAGAUGUCCAGGUCAUGAGAAGAGAGGGAGAAGGAUCCAAACCUAUAUUUGAAAGAGAAGAAAUAAAAAGUGCAACAGUCAAGACAGAAGAAAUUGUCGAACAUCGUACAGUUGUUGCUAUAAAUAAUGAAAACUUAGAAAAUAAAUCGGGAGUGAAUAAAAAAUAUACUACAUCAAGAAGUCAAAGUUGCAGUCCUCGACGUAGAUUGUCUCAUUAUACCAGGUAUGAGGAUUCAAAACGUGAUGGCAGAAAUAGUUAUAGAAAUGAUCCAGGGAAAGAGAUCGUAGUAGAGGCAGAAGUCGAGAAUAUAAAGAAAAAGACAGACGACAUGGUCAGUUGCAUACUACAAGAGAAGAAAGAAAAGGUCACCGAGAUCAUUCACGUUCAAGGGAGCGAGAACAACGAACAUGGAGUAGAGAAUCUCACAAGUUUAAAGACGAAAGAUCUCAUCGAGAAUAUCGAGAAAGAUCAAGAGAACGAUCUCGAGAAAGAAGUGAAAGAGAUAGGUCUAGAGAGCACAGAGUACCGUCGUCGCAUUAUAUUGAGCAAAUUCCCGUUCCAUUCUACUAUGGAGAUUUUCCUGCAAGACCAAUAAUGGUUGGGCCUUUAGUUCCAAUUCGAGGGCAAGUACCUUUAGGAACUAGGCACAUGAUGGGUCCAUUAAGACCAUUCCCACCACGAUUUAUUCCACCAGAUAUGUAUAGAUUACGUCCACCUCCAAACCCUAGAUUUGGGCCAAUGUAUUAAUGAAAGAUUUGUGGUAAAUGGAACAUUAAUGUUUUAUUAUGUAGGUAUGCAUACGUGCCGUAUGCCGUACCAAAUAUUUGACGAUCUUUUAUAAGAAUUCAAAAUUCCUGAUAUCAUAACGAAGUAGAUCCAAUCCAUGAUAAUGAUUAUGAUUUUAUGAAAUGUGCAAAUGUUUUAUAGUUUUUUAAUUGCCAUGUUAUAAGAAUUUUUUAAUAUCAUGAUAAAUUUGUUGAUGCUUUAACUUUAACGUUGAUGCAAACACAAUCGCAUUUUGUUUUAAAAAUCAUUGAUUUUUUAAGUAACUAUGUAUUAACUUAAAAAUUUUAUAGCAUAUUUAAUCUUUUGUUAUAGUUUCUGAAAGACUAUUAAAAUAAAAUAUCUUAUGUUUGAUGUAUUUGAUUAUGAAACUUGUUCAUAAUUCUUUUUAAAUUGUAAUAAUUUGUAAGAAUUUUAUUAAUUGAUAACGAUUUGUGAAUUAUUGAAUUCAAGGAAUGUCUAGCAUGUAAAUAUGAUGUAUCUAAAUAAAAUAUUUAUUUAAAACUCUUUUAAA